AAGCUCGUAGUUGGAUUUCGGAAGGUCUUUAGUGGUCCGCCCCUUCGGGGAGCGGGUCACUGGCCUCCUAUGUUCCUAACGGUCCUCAUCCGCGAGGGUGGGGAAUCAACCGCUAGGAUCGUUUACUUUGAGGAAAUUAGAGUGUUCAAAGCAGGCGUAACUCGCCUCCGAAUACGUUAGCAUGGGAUAAUGGAAUACGACUUCGGUCUUGUUUCGUUGGUUUCGCUUGGCUGAAGUAAUGAUUGAUAGGGACAGUUGGGGGCAUUAGUAUUUAGUUGUCAGAGGUGAAAUUCUAGGAUUUACUAAAGACUGACCAAUGCGAAAGCAUUUGCCAAGGAUGUUUUCAUUAAUCAAGAACGAAAGUAGGGGGAUCGAAGACGAUCAGAUACCGUCGUAGUCUCUACCGUAAACUAUGCCGACCAGGGAUCCGGAGAGUUUGCAUGGAUGACUCCCCGGGCACCUUGUGAGAAAUCA
rnacentral:rRNA from 1 species